GAGCUGUAGGACGACUUGGCUGACGCAGCAGUGGCGGGUGCACAGUUACACUGAGCAGCACAAACAGGUUCUACGUGAAGAGUCAUUAUAAGGAAACCUUACCUGCAACCUCAUCCCAAAAGUCACCAUCCAAACUUUGCAAAGCAACAUCUGGAAAAGCCAGAUUCAGUUUGGGAACAAUUGCGGUUGACAGGUAAAGUUAAAACUAAGCCUUAGGGGCACAAUCACAAAACCUUUUCAUACAGCAGGAUUAGUGGUGUUUAGAUUUUUCUGUUUAUUUUCAACAAAUAAAGACAGAGUACGUGUUUAUCUGGAAUGUCCUGAUAAAAUGAUUUGGAGGACAAAUGCGAAACAUUUUCUAUUUUCAACAUAAGAAUGGUGGAGAUUUGCUGAUAUUUCAUUCUUUGAUUAGUGAGUCCUGAUUGUUAACGGAGCUUAAUCGGUAGAUGAAAUGGUAAUUAUUAGUUGCAGCAUUGGAAUUGUUCUUACAGUGAAAAUAUGAGCACUGCAAAGUUAAAUCACAAUAAUGCUGACAGGAGCUUGCAUGCUGAAAACUGUAAAUGUCCUCUUCGAGUAAAAGGGUGCUUAGAGGUAAAAUUGAAGGAAUUGAUCAGUGUAGCAAAAAAAAAAAAAAAUCAUUAGAUUGCUUAACAGUUGGCAAAAAACCCCAUCCGUGCCAAGACUGUAAUGGUAGAAGCGACAGGACAAAUGGGGCUGCAGAGAUCAUGCGAAAGCACGCACUCGGAUGAGCAAGGGGAAGAGAUGAGUGCAGGCCAUGCUGUUGGAGGUAAAUGUAUGUUGGCAGUAGCUAAAGGGAGGGAAAGAGUGAGAGCACAAUGGUGAGCGAAAGAGAGGAGCCUGUUACUGAACCAUCAGUGGCUGUAAUGAGACACAGGUGCAGCGCAUGGAACCAUAUCCCUUAACAGCGAGGAGGAUGGGAAGGCUGCGUGUAAGUCAAGGAUGCUGUAGAGCUGCAAGACGGAAGACUCAAUGCAGCAUUUCACUUUGAUGGAACAUUAUUACUUAUUAGCAUGCGCAUCCCCCACAGGAGUAUGCGAACAAUCGCCCGAAAACAGUAGACACCCCGGGGACGUGUCGUUACUCAGGGCGCCCAGGCUUCUUCUGACUCUCCGUUCAUUUGCAUCUAUUUUUUAAGCGCCUAGUUAAAAAAUUAUAAGUGCAAGAAAUUAAAAACAAGCAUGACAUGCAGCCGCCACACAGAAUUAAUUCUGGGUCUUUGUUUGUAGUUCAUCGACUCUGAUCAUUUCAUUUAGACUUGGGUUUUCAAACAUAUGCUAAUGAAUGGGAAGCCAGGAAAAGCCAGAGCUUUGCAACACUGCAGCUGAUUUCAGCACUUGAUUGUUAAUGAACUUAUAUUUGGGUUUGCAUGCUAAAAACAGAAAACGUUGGAUUAGCUGGAAAAGCUGCUUUGAAAAUUGGUUUGCAGAGAGGAUGCAAUGAGAAAUGGGGGCUGAGGGGAGAACGUAAGGUGACAGAUUGAGAUAAGAGAGGAGUGGUGGAAGAGGAAAGAAGGGCACAAGCUGCAAAGGAAAAGGUGUUAAGAAAGUGUCAGGGGUAUUGAAUCAGAGGGGUGCUUGUGAGGAUGCGAGCGGCAGAAACGCACUCCCUGCUCCAGGCAAGGUGGGAUGGCUACUGUUGCUUCUGUGCUUGGUUUUCUUUUGCAACUUAAAGAUCAGUCUAAGGCACAAACCAGUUAGACAUGGAAAGGAAAGCAAAGGAGGAUGUUCUGCAGUAAACAAAUGUGUGCGGGCGUGCACGAUCUAGAGAGAGGGGAAAGUGAGAAUAAGAGCAGGUGCAGUCUGCAAUUUCAUGUGGAUGCAUAGUUUGUUUGAAUGGUAGACCUAAGAGGGGGUAAGAGAAUGGCCUUUGUAUUCAGCCAGUACUGAGUGAGUAAAUAUUUUGGAAGGGCAUGCUGUGUGGGUAGAUUGUUCUUUUAGGCAGCGGGGGUGACAACGAAACAGGGCAAGAUAAGAGGAAAGGAGAAGGCGAGCUAAAGGAAACUGUGAAGCAGCAGCUAUGUUUAUUUCGCCAUGCGGAGACGUGAACACAAACUGGGCUUUGUCCCGCGCCCAGGCUAACUUAAUGUUAGAGCUAGCUGUGAGACCUCAGAGAGAUGCAGAAACGGCUUUGCUCUUUCCCCUUCAUUUGCUGCCAAAUGACAUCGCUUACUCUGCUACGGGGUUGCCCUCGCUGCCAGUGGCUGCUAUCAUGAAUGAACAAUGUGCACUUCUCAGGGUCCCUACCUCUCCUCAGGGUGCUUCUCCACAGGCCGUAGGUGUACACUACAGGACACGAAGCUAGGCAUAAGAUGGUAUUCCUGCUGUGGCAGCCUUGUUAGAGCGAUGUUUGAUGUGUCUCAUUUUCUAACGUUGGAACAUGGUGUGAGUACAAAUAGAGAAGUGAAGCGCACGCAAACACACACAAUGCAAACACGGUCUGGUGUGACCUCCACAUGGCCCCUGUGGCGUUAUAUGUAUUUCUUUUCUUUUUUUUUUUUCUUUAGUGUAAGGGCAGGAUGGCUCUAAAGUGGGGAUGAGGGAUAGAGGGGUCAUUCAUUCACCUCGUGCACACGCACACACAUACACCUCCCUCACAGGCCUUUCAUCUUUACUCUCACAGGCAUCUCUUGUUCUGUCAGUCUUGCUGAAGAGAAAGAAGGCGAGGGGGAGAGAGGGAGGGAGACAGAGGAAGGAUGUCAGGGAAGGAGUGAGAAGGGUGGGUGAAGAAGGAGAAGGAAAAAGACAGCAAGUGAUUCGAGUUUCCUGUUCCAUGCAAAGCCAUCUACCGACCUGCCCCACCUUCUUCUGUCUGGGGAAAGAGUAAAGCGUGCUCAGCUUCUGCGCACAGUCAUCCUAGUUUCAUCUUCUUCCACCCUCCCUCUCUUUAAUUGUAUCCUUCGCAUCCUUCUCAUCCUCUUGUUGCUUGGCCAUAUCAACACCCACCCGCUCCCCCCGCACUCUUCCUGUGUCCAUCCCUCGCCUCCCCCCUGGGGCUUACCUCAGUGGGUUGGUUCCAGUCUGUCUGUUUGCUGAUGACUCCACUUGGAGCAGAUGUGAUGCUCGGCAGCUGUUUCUUUGCUCUGCAGUACCCUCCCUACCCCACACACCUCCUCUCUUCCCUCUUAUCUCCCCACACUCACAUCUCUCUGUCUCCCCCUCCAGUGUCUCUUAUGUUCCUAUUUAUCUACGUGUCUUUUUGUUCCGACGUUGCUCAAGCGUAAAUUGGCGAGUUUAAUUUUGCUUUCAGAUGUCUUUUUUUGUUUUUUCCUCCCCUCGUCUUCUCUGACCAGCCUUUCCAAUUUGCUUCACUUUCCAGCCUUCCUUGAUGCGGCUGUUAAUGUUCAAAGCACGUAAGGAUUUAAUGUCAUAACAAUAAGUCUGGAAUCUGCGUAUUUGUCUGCCACAUGAAUGCCAACUGUCGCACUGUAAUCAUGUGAAACAAAUGUUGGCCAUUGAUGGCAGCUCUGCAGAGGGUAGAGGGGAGAGUAUUGUUUCCUCUAUAAAUCUGUGGAAAUGAGAGAAAUGUGAAUGGCGAAGGUUUGUUUCUGUUUUUCAUUUCGCCAGCGACAUUGUGCUGUUCAAAGUCAGGCUCAGCGCUGGAAUUAGAAUUCUAUGUUUAGCUUAAGAUGUAUAGAGAUAAAAAUGGGACUUGGACACUUGAAGAGUGAUGGAGUGGGUUUUAUUUAGGCUGAGUCCCCUCAGUGGCCUGUGCUUCUUUGGAUAGACUUAUUAGAAUCUUUAUUAGCUCUCUCUGUGUUCAUCUGUUAUCUCUGUCUCUUUGCCUCUGCCUCAGUAAGGGGUUGGCUGGUGAACUGAGCAUCCUCUGACAGGGACCCUCUCAUCCGAUAUUAGAGAAGAAGCAAGAGGGGAGUUCUUGCCACUGUGAUGACUUAAGCCUGGAGAAAUCUGUUUCUGGAUGGGCGUGUGGUUGCAUCGGUGUGGCAGGGCGCGUUCGGGAGUGUGUGCAAAUACGUGCGUGUCACAUCUGUAAUUGGCUGCCUCUGAUCUUGUGGAAAUCUGGGCUCAGUGUGGCAGAUCCACCAGCUAAUCAACGCUCAGAGCUUGCGCACAGGAACGUCAACCUGUGCUUUACUCCAGAGGCUGGAAUGUCACCACGCUUGGGAUUUAAUCGCUCCAGAAAUCCCUUAAUGGGAAACGUUACAUGAAGCCUAAUUUGAGGAUGUUGAGAUAAAAUGUUGCUGUGUGUGUGUGUGAGAGAGAGAAAGCUUGUGACAGUAAGGAGGUAUGUGUGUGUGUUGUGUGCUCGACUGAAACUCUGAUAAAAGAUAUUGAGCGCCACUUUUCCCCCUCGCUCUCAGAUGAUAAGAUUACAACAAGGCCAGAGGUGUUUCUGUUUGCACUUUAGCCUCUCUGCUCUGCCUUCUCUGUGACCGUGAGUAUUCAUGGUGGCAUACGGCACAGCGUCAUUGGGAAAUUCAUAAGGGGGAAUCAUCACUCAUUCCUGGUUCCCCUUUGAGGACUGCGCUAAUUAGCCAGCGUCUGUGAUUAGUUGGCUUGUGUUUGAUCUGCUUCACUCCUCUCCCUCCCUGUCGAAGGGCUGCCUGCCUGCCUGCCUGCGCCGCGAUUUGGCUGCGAGGUGCGCCAAACAAACACUCAAAAACAGACACACAAAGAUGUACACAGCGCCGCUUUUUUCUCCCCCCCUCUCCUUUCCCUGCCUUUCGGAGACACUGCAGGUGGCCUCUGAGACACAGUAUCAUACACUGGCAGACAGCCACAUACGCACAAACAUGUGAGCCGCAGUACUCCAAACCAAAGCUCACAACACUUCAGUCGAAAGAGUAUAUCUGUUAAUAUUUCACUACUGCAUACCAAGAACUUUGUUUACUUUCUCUUAGCGAGUUUCAGGCUGCCAGUAAAAUUCCCCUGAAAAGCCAGGCAGUACGCCGCUUAUUAAGGCAACAGAGGGUGUGGGUGGCUAGCUGAGAAGGGGAUUUACUUAACUUAACCCCGAGUGAUUACAGCUAAAGAUGGGCGAAUUAUGAAUGUAAUUAAAUUUGUACAAAUCCCCCUUUGCUGCCCUUUUUUACGUUAGGUCUCAAUGGCAAAGCACAGUAAGGGAUACCCAUGCUGCGCUUAAUAUGACACAAAUAAAAGAAACUCUUUGGUGCAUGACAGAGCACUGUCUAAUUACACAGUGGCUGUGAUAUUGAAGGGCCCGUCUUGUCCUUGAAGCAUGGCAGGGACAUCUCUGACUGUUCAUACCCCCAUCUAUCUACUCCUCACAUCCCAAUCCUCUAUCUGUCACUCUGCCUUAAGGGGGUGGAUGGUAAACAAAGGCAGCUCACAUCCAAUGUAAUGACGACCUGACAGGAGACUGCUCCGGCAGCUCGUGUGUUGGCUGCUGUGCCUGCACCAGUGUGUCUGUGUGUGUGUUUGUUAUUGUGCUCCUCUUUACGGUCUCUGAGAAGUGGCUUCAAUCUUCUGAGAGUCAGAUCAAUUGUAGCAUCAUUGUGACUGCUGAGCCAUUACAGGCUAAAACCAGGGUUCACACUGUUAUUGAGGGGAAACUUGAUCCUCUGGUGUUCACCUCUCAGACGGGUAAAAGGUGUUUAUCCUCACUACUAAAAUCUAGCUCGGCUGCUGAGUUCUGCUCUCAAUAUAGAGCUGUAUUUAUUUAUUUUUUUAAAAUAGAUAGUAAUUAAUUAACUCAUCGCUUCCUCGUUGCGUUCUUUGAAAUUGUUUGACUGACAGGCAGCGGAGGUUUUGUUUUGAGUGGCAGUGACCUCACAGGUGCUGGAGCUGUAAUCUUGUGAGUUUCUGAGUUACUGUGCUGUUGCCUUAGCUUACACUGGGGAAUAGAUAUGAUCUUGUUCACGGUUCAUUGAAGAAUUAUGUCGUAAUGGUAAUAAUGUGUUUUAAGGGUGGAAACGAUGGCUAUUUUUGUUAUUGGUAACAAUCUGAUCUUUUUUUAGAAUGUAUAUUUGCAUUUCGGGGGAAAAACUCAGCAAAAUUUCCUAAGGGCAAUGCAUUUUUGGUGAGUCUAAAAUACCAAAAUACCCAAGUGAUGUUCUCAUAAAACUGGGACGUGCAGCAAAUACUCCCAUUUUAAAGGUAUUGGUUCAUUGUUGGGGCCUAGUAAGAAUGAAACUAAGUUUUCCAAAGCAAAUCAUUUUACAUGGAAUGAAUGUAAUAGGUUAAGACCCGUUAAAUUCAUUAGUCAAGUAAUUGCUGAAAAAGCAAUUAAGGAUGGGUGUUAUAACACACUUGUUACUAAGUGCUGGUAGUUGGUCACUUUACGCUACUUUGGACCUUUUUUAUGUGUUUAUUGCUUUAUUAGAUUACUUUGUGACAAAAAAGGGUCAAGAGGAAUCAGGAUGUUGCUACUUUAUUUAUUUCAAAGCUUUAACUGCGUCAUGAGUGUGCUAUUUGAAUCGCAUGCAUGUUUUGUCUUUUUAGUGGAAGGUCCUAGUUUUAUUCAUUUAUUUUUGCUGAAUUUUAUAGUUCCCGACUUUACUCAAAGUACCCACUUUUUAUAUAUAUUUUUUAACCUCGUGUGUUUGCUCGCUUCCAGCCAGCCACAGCUUCUCAGUGGAUUUUGUUUAAUUUUAUUUAACAGACUGACUCGAGGAGAAAUAUCAGGUUAUGUCUCCCCCCCCUCCCGUUUGAUCCGUCUCCUUGAGCUCUAUGUCUUUCUGUCUAUUAGCUCUUCAUUCAUUCAUCUAUCAGCGUCAAAACAAUACACCGUGUACUCAAGGCAAGUUGUCAUAGUGACUGGAGAAUAAGCAAAGUUGAUCUCAACGUUCAGUACAAAGGAAAGAGAUGGAGGGAGUGCCAGAAAACAACCCUGCAUAUAACCUCAUCAAAAAUCCCCACCUGUUUAUCACUCUCUUGCUCCAGAGUGCCUUUUUAUAGAUCUUACAGAGCAAAACUUCUUUCUCUUUUCCUUUCUGCUACAGUCUCAUUCCUUUCCUCAUCAUUAACACCUCCCUCACCCUCGUUUACGGGAAAACUGAUAGCAGGAAUGUAUUUGUGUGCAGUGUUUCAUCUUACCUGCCUCCUAUUGAGCCUUGAAGACAAUAGGCUGUUCACCUCUGCCCCGAUGGCUCACCACAGCCCUGAAAGACGGCAACUCUGAUCCAUACAAUGCAGCAGUAGUAACAUACAAAGAAUGGCUUUGUUGUACUUUUAAUUGCUUUGGUUAUCUUUGUCUUCUCCUCGUAUCGUUUUGUUCUGCUUUGCGACAUCUUUCGUGCUUGAUGUUUACUAAUUGUCGCAGUGUUCCCACCACACUGUAGCUCUGAUUAAUCUUUAUAGGGGGAAAAAAAAUCUGCUUUUAAUGGGUCCUCGUUUCACUUUGAAAAAGUGCUAGUGGUCUAAUCAGUUAUCCAUACCUUUGAGCGGCACAUUGCAGUCUUGUAGUAAAGCGAGUCCAAAGCUUAUUAAAUAUAACUUUUGCUCUGAUUUUUAGCAAAACUUUUGCAAGAGGAGACACACUUAAAAGCAUAUGGGGGUGUAGAAAUUUGGGAGCC